GAUGAACGCUGGCGGCGUGCCUAAUACAUGCAAGUCGAGCGAACGGACGAGAAGCUUGCUUCUCUGAUGUUAGCGGCGGACGGGUGAGUAACACGUGGAUAACCUACCUAUAAGACUGGGAUAACUUCGGGAAACCGGAGCUAAUACGGGAUAAUAUUUUGCACCGCAUGGUUCAAAAGUGAAAGACGGUCUUGCUGUCACUUAUCGCUGGAUCCGCGCUGCAUUAGCUAGUUGGUAAGGUAAAGGCUUACCAAGGCAACGAUGCAUAGCCGACCGGAGAGGGGGAUCGCCCACACUGGAGGGGGGACAGGGACCAGACUCCUACGAUAGGCAGCAGUCGCGAAUCGGCGGCAACGGGCGAAAGCCUGGCGGAGUAAGGCGGCGUGAGUGGUGAAGGCCCUGGGAUCGUAAUGCCCUGUUACUAGGGAUAAACAGAUGUGUAAGUAAAUGAGCAGAUCGUGACGGUAAUGAGUCAGAAAGCACCGGCUAACUACGUG
rnacentral:rRNA from 1 species